AGAGUUUGAUCCUGGCUCAGGACGAACGCUGGCGGCGUGCUUUAUACAUGCAAGUCGAACGAUGAAGUUCCUUCGGGAAUGGAUUAGUGGCGAACGGGUGAGGAACACGUGAGAAACCUGCCUUUCAUUCUGGGAUAACACCGGGAAACCGGUGCUAAUACCGGAUACUCCAUCUUGGCGGCAUCGCCGAGCUGGGAAAAAAUUUUGAUGAAAGAUGGUCUCGCGGCCUAUCAGCUAGUUGGUGAGGUAAAGGCUCACCAAGGCGACGACGGGUAGCCGGCCUGAGAGGGCGACCGGCCACACUGGGACUGAGACACGGCCCAGACUCCUACGGGAGGCAGCAGUAGGGAAUAUUGGGCAAUGGGCGAAAGCCUGACCCAGCGACGCCGCGUGAGGGAUGAAGGUCUUCGGAUUGUAAACCUCUUUCAGUAGGGAAGAAGCGAAAGUGACGGUACCUAAAGAAGAAGCACCGGCUAACUAUGUGCCAGCAGCCGCGGUAAUACAUAGGGUGCAAGCGUUGUCCGGAAUUAUUGGGCGUAAAGAGCUCGUAGGUCGUUUGUCGCGUCGAUUGUGAAAAUCUGAGGCUCAACCUCAGACCUGCAGUCGAUACGGGCAAACUAGAGUGUGGUCGGGGAGACUGGAAUUCCUGGUGUAGCGGUGGAAUGCGCAGAUAUCANNNNNAACACCAAUGGCGNNNNCAGGUCUCUGGGCCAUAACUGACACUG
rnacentral:rRNA from 1 species